rnacentral:tRNA from 1 species
GUUAAGUUGGCAGAUUUAUGUGUUUGAUUUAGGAUCAAGAGAAAAAAAUACAACAUUUUUACUUUACA